CGACUAUGAGUACAGUAGAGGGCAGACAAGCAAUGGAGUCUCCAGCGACUAACACACUUUCUUGAAUCAAUCCCGUUUUAGGUUUUCUUCCCAUCAAUUAAACCGGUAGCCAGAGAGAUCAGAGAAGAGCAAACCCUUCGUGAGUUCUUCCCCCAAUUCUUUCCCGUUAUUUACAUGUUUUUUUUUACAUUAUUUACAUGUUUUUUUCCCCAGUUCCUUCUCCCAAAUCACCAUUCACCCAUUAUUUACAUGAUUUUUUCUAACAUGUUUAUUGUUUAAUUAUUGGUUUUUUUCUUUUUUGAGUAGUUCGUUAUGCUCUAUGUUUAAUUUGUAUUGAUUUUUACGGUUUGGGGAUUUUGUUACAAAUUAUUGAAAGUUUUGUAGUGCCAAAGUGAAUAAGUGAUCCGGUGCUUAUUAAUUAUUAUAUAUUGAUUCAACUCAGAUGACUUUUGGCAGUGGAAUGACUUAAUUAUUGAAAGUGAAUAAUUAUUAAUUAUUGAAAGUUUUGUAAUGCCAAAGCGAAUAAGAGGAAAAUCCUAUUUAUUAUAAGAGUAUAUCUAUUUAAUGUCUUUGAGGAUUUUUAUCAAAAUGGGGUGGUCAAUGCUGCAACUUAUUCUACUUGCUUGACUUUUUUCUUUGUUGUCUAUCAUUUGAUUCAUUUCUUUCGAAUGAGUUUCGAUGGUUGAUCAUAUUUUGACUUUCUAAUUCAAAUUUCACGUGUAAAUAUCUGGCAUCUUAAAAAUGUCAAAUGGGUUAGCCUUAAAGGGCUUUUCAACCUGCAAUUUCAUUUUAAGUUCAAAUGGAACAAUUUUUUCAACCUAAAUGAAAGUUCUAGUUUUGUUUCUAGUUCCACCACUAUUUCUAGCCAAGCGUACGAGUUGUUAAAUAACACAAAGAAGUCUUAGGCUCAAUUCAAUGUGGAUGAUCUUGUAUCUGAUCCAGGAAAACGCCCCCUAUCGAGUCAUAUGGAUAUUAGAGAUGAUGUUAGGAUGACAUAGUUGGAAAAAGGUCUUUGUCAACCACAUGGACAUGACUUUCCAAGAAGACGGAUGGGAAAGGAAUUUAGGUGUUUUCAAAAAGAAUGAUGCGGCUUUUUUGCAUUGCUUCUUGUUCAAACCUGAUAGAGGGGGUCAAGGGGUGGACGUAUAUUCACUAAGACUAGCUUUAGGGAUUGGAAACACAAAAAUACAUUGAAAGAUCAUGUCGGGCUCAUUGAUAGUGCUCAUAAUCAAACUUUUGCAAAGUGUACUAACUUGAUAAAUCAAAAGCAAAAUAUCUCCUAUGUUAUUUCUAGCCAAAGUAGUAGCCAACAAAAAUGUUAUGAACAAGGUUGACUGCGGUGCUAGAUUGUACUUGAUUCCUCUUAAUGCAAUGAUUGCCAUCUAGGUCAUGAAUCUUAAUAAAGGAAUUCUAAUUGGGCUACUAAAUUGGUAUGCAGCUCGUUGUAAGGAAAAUUAAUGAAGCAGUAUUUAGUAAUACUCCUGGAAAUGACCAAUUGACUUCAUCAAGCAUUUAGAAGGAUUUGGUUAAUUGUUGUGCUGUAGAGACAACAAGGUCUAUUAUCAAUUAGAUGUGUGAUUCUUUGUUUUCAAUUUUGGUUGAUGAGUCUUGUGAUAAUUCUAUAAAAGAAGAACAAAUGACAAUUGUUUUGAGGUUUGUUGACAAAAGCGAGCAAGUGAAGGAACGUUUGUUGAACAUUUUCAAUAUCACUGAUACUUGUGCCCAAUCACUCAAGGAUGUCAUUGAUGCAAUGUUUUCUACAUCUAGCAGAGGUCAAGGUUACGAUAGAGCAAGCAAUAUGUCAGGUGAGUUCAAUAGCUUAAAAGAUUUAAUUUUAAGAGAGAACCCAUAUGCUAUGUAUGUUCAUUAUUUUGCUCACCAGUUUCAGUUGGCGGUUGUUUCUGUGGCACAUAAGAAAACAAUGCUUAAUAAUUUAUUUAACAUGCGCAAACUAUUAUGAAUUUGGUUGGUGCAUCAUGUAAACGUGUAGAUGCUCUUCGAACAAGUUAUCAUACUGAAAUUCUAGAGAGGCUUAAUAUUGGGGAACUUUCUGGUAGAACUGAUUAGUUUUAAGAAAUGAGUUCAACACACAUAGGUGAUAGGGCUCACAUUUAAAGACAAUUACUCGCUUUUAAUGUAUGUUUAAUGCGAUCAUGGAUGUUCUUGAGAUAUAUCAGAAGACGGCAUAAGUUUAGAACAAAAAUUAAUGGCCGUAAGACAGAUGAACUAUGCAAGAUUUUCAAUUUGGGUUCAGUCUCCAUUUUAUGUUUGAAAUUCUUACAAUUACAGAUGACCUUUCACAAGCCUUACAAAAAAAGGAUCAGGAUAUUCAGAGGUUAUUGAAGUUGUGUAAGUACGCAUUGCAGAACAUGAAAGACAAUGCAACUGGGAUACUUUGUUAAGGAAUAAUGCUAUUGCAGUCGCUCACUGCGGCAAUCGCCCUACGUGGCAUACAAAAUUAUCACAUUAAUGCAUCAAAUAACCACCUGCCAUGUGUAUGCCACGUAGGGCGACUACCGCAGUGAGCAACUACGAAUAGCAUUACUCUUUGUCUUAUAUGGUAAUUGAGUUUUGUGUUAAAAGGUCGACCAAGGUGUUCAGCAGGUGACUUAUUCAUUCUCAUCGCUUUUAUGUUGAUUUGUAUUGUUAUGUGAUAGAUUCAAUCUAGCAAGAGUUGAAUGAUCAUUUUCCAGAAACAACUAUUGAGCUUUUUAUUUGCAUUUCGUGUUUAAGUCAAAGAGAUUCGUUUCCAGCUUUUGAUGUAUGUAAAUAGGCUGAUAUAUUACCU
rnacentral:lncRNA from 1 species